rnacentral:rRNA from 1 species
GACGAACGCUGGCGGCGUGCUUAACACAUGCAAGUCGAACGGAAAGGCCCUGCUUUUGUGGGGUGCUCGAGUGGCGAACGGGUGAGUAACACGUGAGUAACCUGCCCUUGACUUUGGGAUAACUUCAGGAAACUGGGGCUAAUACCGGAUAGGAGCUCCUGCUGCAUGGUGGGGGUUGGAAAGUUUCGGCGGUUGGGGAUGGACUCGCGGCUUAUCAGCUUGUUGGUGGGGUAGUGGCUUACCAAGGCUUUGACGGGUAGCCGGCCUGAGAGGGUGACCGGCCACAUGGGGACUGCGAUACGGCCCAGACUCCUACGGGAGGCAGCGGUGGGGAAUAUUGCCCAAUGGGAGGAAGCCUGAUGCAGCAACGCCGCGUGCGGGAUGACGGCCUUCGGGUUGUAAACCGCUUUCGCCUGUGACGAAGCGUGAGUGACGGUAAUGGGUAAAGAAGCACCGGCUAACUACGUG